rnacentral:tRNA from 1 species
UGCGGGGUGGAGCAGUCUGGUAGCUCGUCGGGCUCAUAACCCGAAGGUCGUUGGUUCAAAUCCAGCCCCCGCAU